rnacentral:rRNA from 1 species
AGAGUUUGAUCAUGGCUCAGGAUGAACGCUGGCGGCGUGGAUAAGGCAUGCAAGUAGAACGCCCCGCAAGGGGAGUUGCGAACGAGGUAGUAAUACAUAGGUACAAACCCAGAGUCAGGAAUAACCUACCGAAAGGUAGGCUAAUACUUGAUGGUCCCGCAAGGGUAAAGAUUUAUCGCUUUGGGAUUGGCCUGUGCAGUAUCAGCUAGUUGGUAGGGUAAUGGCCUACCAAGGCAAUGACGCUUAGGAGAGCUGAGAGGCUGACCUCCACCGAUGGUACUGAGACACGGACCAUACACCUACGGGUGGCUGCAGUCGAGAAUCUUCCGCAAUGGACGCAAGUCUGACGGAGCGACGCCGCGUGAUCGAUGAAGUCUUUCGGGAUGUAAAGAUCUUUUAUGAAGGAGAAAGUUUUGAUAGUACUUCAUGAAUAAGGGGUUGCUAAACUCGUGCCAGCAGCAGCGGUAAUACGAGUACCCCAAGCGUUAUCCGGAAUUAUUGGGCGUAAAGGGUGUGUAGGUUGUAAUGUUAGUCUCUUGUCAAAGCUCCCGGCUCAACCGGGAAAUUGCGGGGGAAACGGCAUAACUAGAGGGUGCGAGAGGUUUGCGGAACUCAUGGUGUAGGGGUGAAAUCCGUUGAUAUCAUGGGGAACACCUAAAGCGAAGGCAGCNACUGGCGCAUUUCUGACGCUGAAACACGAAAGCGUAGGUAGCGAAUGGGAUUAGAUACCCUAGUAGUCC